ACAUAAAAUAAAAAAUAUUUUUACAAAAGAUUAGACAACCCAGUAUACUGGGUGGUACAUGCUUGUAAUCCCAGGAGGCAGAAGCAGGAGGAUUACAAACUGAAAGCCAACUUGGACUACUUAGCAAGUUCCAAGCCUGCCUGGAAUAUAUAGCAAGACCCUGUUUCAAAAGAAGUACAGGGCUCGCCAUCCUCUUUCCGCCAUCUUGGCGCCGGUGGAGGCCUGCUGGGAACAGGACUUCUAAAAGGCAAAUAUGUCUGGAAGGCUAUGGUGCAAGGUCACUUUUGCUGGCUACAAGCGAGGUCUUUGGAAUCAACGAGAGCAUACAGCUCUUCUUAAAAUUGAAGGUGUUUAUGCCUGAGAUGAAACUGAAUUCUACUUAGGCAAGAGGUGCACUUAUGUGUAUAAAGCAAAAAACAACACAGUAACUCCUGGUGGCAAAUCAAACAAAACCAGAGUAAUCUGGGGAAAGGCCACCCGGCCCAUGGAAACAGUGGCAUGGUUCAUGCCAAAUUCCGAAGCAAUCUUCCUGCAAAGGCCAUUGGACACAGAAUCCAAGUGAUGCUGUACCCCUCACCGAUUUAAACUAAUGGAACAUAAAUAAAGAAAAGUGGAUUUGUUAAAAAAAAAAAAAAAGAAGUGGUGGAGGAGGGGGAGAAGGAGGUAGAGGAGGUGUUAUUUAAACACAUUUGAAGGAGUGGAAAGAAUAAAUGGACACUGAAGCUCAGUAGAGAAUGAUGGUUACCUAAAGCCCAGGUUCUAAAAGGAAAGGAGGGCAUGGAUGCAGAGCCCAGGUGCAUGUGGUUCAUUUACACAACAGUUUAGGUCAGCAGACAUUUAUUGCAAUCUAUAUGUUAAGUCUCUCCUAGGAGCUCCAUUCAGUCUGGGUGGGAAGCCAGCUGAGUAAGAAAUUAGUCUUCAGCAGAGGGUGUGGGGCACAUCUUGCUUGGACUCACAGCUAUUUAUGAUUGGGAGGUAGCAACUGAAAACUGAUGGGUGUCCAUGUCUGGCCACUUCUUUGUUCUUUAUCAAGAAGGGAACAUUUUAUUUUUCUAGUGUUGGAGACUGAACCCAGGGGCCACAUAUGCUAGGAAGUAAGAUGAGCUAACCUCCCAGCCUUGUGAAGUCCAGUAUUCAAGUUGCUUAUUGAUUAAGGUAGGAGUUGGGCAAGAAGCUUAAAGAAUAGCCAUAGAAGGACACAGAAAAGAAGAUGAAGGAGAAGGGAAUGGAAGAAAUGCCAACCAAAAGUACUAGGUGAAAGGGUUAGGGAAAGCCUGACUUGACAUAGCCAAGUCUAUAUCAGCACUCUGGAAGCUAAGGCUGCAUACAGAGACCCUGUCUCAAAGGAACAAGAGUUAGGGAGCAGACUGGAAACCAUGAGUGU